GGAGUGGCGAACGGGUGAGUAACACGUGGGUAACCUGCCCAUCAGAAGGGGAUAACACUUGGAAACAGGUGCUAAUACCGUAUAACAAUCGAAACCGCAUGGUUUUGAUUUGAAAGGCGCUUUCGGGUGUCGCUGAUGGAUGGACCCGCGGUGCAUUAGCUAGUUGGUGAGGUAACGGCUCACCAAGGCGACGAUGCAUAGCCGACCUGAGAGGGUGAUCGGCCACAUUGGGACUGAGACACGGCCCAAACUCCUACGGGAGGCAGCAGUAGGGAAUCUUCGGCAAUGGACGAAAGUCUGACCGAGCAACGCCGCGUGAGUGAAGAAGGUUUUCGGAUCGUAAAACUCUGUUGUUAGAGAAGAACAAGGAUGAGAGUAACUGUUCAUCCCUUGACGGUAUCUAACCAGAAAGCCACGGCUAACUACGUGCCAGCAGCCGCGGUAAUACGUAGGUGGCAAGCGUUGUCCGGAUUUAUUGGGCGUAAAGCGAGCGCAGGCGGUUUCUUAAGUCUGAUGUGAAAGCCCCCGGCUCAACCGGGGAGGGUCAUUGGAAACUGGGAGACUUGAGUGCAGAAGAGGAGAGUGGAAUUCCAUGUGUAGCGGUGAAAUGCGUAGAUAUAUGGAGGAACACCAGUGGCGAAGGCGGCUCUCUGGUCUGUAACGACGCUGAGGCUCGAAAGCGUGGGGAGCAAACAGGAUUAGAUACCCUGGUAGUCCACGCCGUAAACGAUGAGUGCUAAGUGUUGGAGGGUUUCCGCCCUUCAGUGCUGCAGCUAACGCAUUAAGCACUCCGCCUGGGGAGUACGACCGCAAGGUUGAAACUCAAAGGAAUUGACGGGGGCCCGCACAAGCGGUGGAGCAUGUGGUUUAAUUCGAAGCAACGCGAAGAACCUUACCAGGUCUUGACAUCCUUUGACCACUCUAGAGAUAGAGCUUCCCCUUCGGGGGCAAAGUGACAGGUGGUGCAUGGUUGUCGUCAGCUCGUGUCGUGAGAUGUUGGGUUAAGUCCCGCAACGAGCGCAACCCUUAUUGUUAGUUGCCAUCAUUUAGUUGGGCACUCUAGCAAGACUGCCGGUGACAAACCGGAGGAAGGUGGGGAUGACGUCAAAUCAUCAUGCCCCUUAUGACCUGGGCUACACACGUGCUACAAUGGGAAGUACAACGAGUCGCAAAGUCGCGAGGCUAAGCUAAUCUCUUAAAGCUUCUCUCAGUUCGGAUUGUAGGCUGCAACUCGCCUACAUGAAGCCGGAAUCGCUAGUAAUCGCGGAUCAGCACGCCGCGGUGAAUACGUUCCCGGGCCUUGUACACACCGCCCGUCACACCACGAGAGUUU
rnacentral:rRNA from 1 species